UACGGAGGGUGCAAGCGUUAUCCGGAAUCGCUGGGUUUAAAGGGUGCGUAGGCGGUUCGUUAAGUCAGUUGUGAAAUUCCCCCGCUUAACGGGAGGGACUGCGAUUGAUACUGAUGAACUUGAAUCAGGUUGAGGUAGGCGGAAUGUGACAUGUAGCGGUGAAAUGCAUAGAUAUGUCAUAGAACACCGAUUGCGAAGGCAGCUUGCUGGACCUGUAUUGACGCUGAGGCACGAAAGCGUGGGGAGCAAACAGG
rnacentral:rRNA from 1 species